UGACUAUAAAUAACUGGGAGACAAAUGUACGCUGGAAGCACAAGGAGGAUUAGCUUGGCAAUUAAUGUGACAAGAAAAGAAACAGAAAUGGAUAACUGCUUCCUUCUUAAUGUGUUCCAGAAUUCAUUGUUUAUGUACCACAUCCAGUGCUCCAUGCAAUGCGUGCCCUCCGCAAUACCUACCACCAGGCUUACUCAACCCCCCACUCCCCUCCUGUGUAUUAUUCAUCUGUUGAUGGAUACUUGGGCUACUUCCAUAAUUUGGGUAUUGUGAAUAAUGCUGCAAUAAAUAUAUAGGUGUGCAC
rnacentral:lncRNA from 1 species